UGAUCAUUGGAUUGAAGGAGAAACCAUGAACUUGACAAACACCAGGAAGCAGCAACACCAUUUGCAAUGAAGAAUUGAAAAGGGGAUCGUACAUGAAAUCAUGAAUCUCCACAACACGUAGCUUGCUUUCCUGUUUUCAGAAAUUUGGCCGGAGGAAUUCUAUGUGAACUGGAACAACCUCCAGGAAGUGAUGCAGAGUGAGAGGAGCAGAACCAGGAGAACACUGUACACAGAGACUGAUACACUGUGGCACAAUUGAAUGUAAUGGACUUCUCUACUAGCGGCAAUGAUAGUAGAGAC
rnacentral:lncRNA from 1 species